rnacentral:rRNA from 1 species
UUGCAACCUUUGAUGGCGACCGGCGCACGGGUGAGUAACACGUAUCCAACCUACUCCUUACAACGGAAUAACCCGGCGAAAGUCGGACUAAUACCGUAUGAUAUCCUAUGCAGGCAUCUAACCAGGAUUAAAGGUUUAGCGGUAAGGGAUGGGGAUGCGUCUGAUUAGGCAGUUGGCGGGGUAACGGCCCACCAAACCGACGAUCAGUAGGGGUUCUGAGAGGAAGGUCCCCCACAUUGGAACUGAGACACGGUCCAAACUCCUACGGGAGGCAGCAGCC